AACGAACGCUGGCGGCAUGCCUAACACAUGCAAGUCGAACGAGACCUUCGGGUCUAGUGGCGCACGGGUUCGUAACGCGUGGGAACCUGCCCUUAGGUUCGGAAUAACUCCCCGAAAGGGGUGCUAAUACCGGAUAAUGUCUUCGGACCAAAGAUUUAUCGCCUUUGGAUGGGCCCGCGUUGGAUUAGCUAGUUGGUAGGGUAAAAGCAUACCAAGGCGACGAUCCAUAGCUGGUCUGAGAGGAUGAUCAGCCACACUGGGACUGAGACACGGCCCAGACUCCUACGGGAGGCAGCAGUGGGGAAUAUUGGAAAAUGGGCGAAAGCAUGAUCCAGCAAUGACGCGUGAGUGAUGAAGGCCUUAGGGUUGUAAAGCUCUUUUACCCGGGAUGAUAAUGACAGUACCGGGAGAAUAAGCUCCGGCUAACUCCGUG
rnacentral:rRNA from 1 species